rnacentral:rRNA from 1 species
UAGCAGUAGGGAAUCUUCGGCAAUGGACGAAAGUCUGACNGAGCAACGCCGCGUGAGUGAAGAAGGUUUUCGGAUCGUAAAACUCUGUUGUUAGAGAAGAACAAGGAUGAGAGUAACUGUUCAUCCCUUGACGGUAUCUAACCAGAAAGCCACGGCUAACUACGUGCCAGCAGCCGCGGUAAUACGUAGGUGGCAAGCGUUGUCCGGAUUUAUUGGGCGUAAAGCGAGCGCAGGCGGUUUYUUAAGUCUGAUGUGAAAGCCCCCGGCUCAACCGGGGAGGGUCAUUGGAAACUGGGAGACUUGAGUGCAGAAGAGGAGAGUGGAANUCCAUGUGUAGCGGUG